AGCUUUCUUAUAGUAAAAACAAAACAAGCACUUUCUGAAUGUCAUCUUGUGAGAUGGAGUGCAAACGGGGAGGCAAGUCAAGGAGUGGCUGCUCAUAAAAGGAGCUCCAAAGAAAGCAGGCGGCUGCAUUUGCAACUCCACUCUCCAACGCAGAGCUGCACUUGCUGGUGAAAAAUGUACGGCAACAACCAAGGGAACCCUAAACCCAAAGGCUACCCCAACCAGCCUGGGGCACCAGGGGGAUGCCCACCUCAGCCUUGCUGCCCUCCUCAGCAAGGCUGUGGACCGGCUCACGGGCAUGGACACGGGCAAGGGCAUGGACAUGAUCACGGACACGGCCAUGGACACGGCCAUGACCAUGGGCAUGGUCACGGUGGUCAUGGAGGUCACGGUGGUCACGGUUGUCAUGGUGAUCAUGGUGGUCACGGUGGUCACUGCCAUGGCAAGCACAAGCACAACAAAGGCCACAAGCAUGGCAAGUGCCACAAAAAAGGAAAGGACUGUCACGGGUCAUCCAGCAGCUCUUGCAGCAGCGACUCAGACUCGACCAAAUGAGCAGAGACGGACGGCGGCAGAGAUGUGAAGCCGCCACGUGACAUCUGAAGAGAACGAGGGUGCCAUCAACCCCUGUUAUGUGAUGUUUGCUUCUUAGCUCCCACCCUACACCCUGGUCGCUGGGACUGUUGUUGAACUAUUAAAAAAAAAAAGUACUUUUUUUGCU